UGUCCAUGAUGAAACAAAAUAUUUUCAGUUCUGCUUCUGAAUAAUAAUGAGCGAUAACCAAUCAUACCAAAACCUUCUGAUAU
rfam:Neurospora tetrasperma FGSC 2509 unplaced genomic scaffold NETTE2scaffold_3, whole genome shotgun sequence.